GACGAACGCUGGCGGCGUGCUUAACACAUGCAAGUCGAACGGAAAGGCCCUUCGGGGUACUCGAGUGGCGAACGGGUGAGUAACACGUGGGUGAUCUGCCCUGCACUUUGGGAUAAGCCUGGGAAACUGGGUCUAAUACCGAAUAGGACCACGCGCUUCAUGGUGUGUGGUGGAAAGCUUUUGCGGGGUGGGAUGGGCCCGCGGCCUAUCAGCUUGUUGGUGGGGUAAUGGCCUGCCAAGGCGACGACGGGUAGCCGGCCUGAGAGGGUGACCGGCGACACAGGGACUGAGAUGAGGCCGAGACUCCUAAGGGAGGCAGCAGGGGGGAAGAUUGCACAAGGGGCGCAAGCCUGAUGCAGCGACGCCGCGGGAGGGAUGACGGCCUUAGGGUUGUAAACCUCUUUUGAUAGGGACGAAGCGCAAGUGAAGGUACCUAUAGAAGAAGCACCGGCCAACUACGUG
rnacentral:rRNA from 1 species